rnacentral:misc_RNA from 1 species
AUACAAUUUGAUUUCAAUAGGUAUUCCAUCAUCUCCAGUGAUAGUCUCUACCACCAUCAUACCUGAAUUCAUAAUACUAAGACUUAGCACACUAUUUCCUGGUGACACUAGUAUUAGCUUUAUUGUUGAUAUCACUGAUUCAGAAUCUCUAAUAACCAGUGUAUCAGAUGAGUUCACUAACUAUCAGUCUAACAGUAUUGUUAGUAUUAAUAUUAGUAUACCUAAUGGUGGACUAGUAUCAAUAAGUACACUAGCAUUAAAUCAAUAUGGAGCAUCUAAUGAAACAAUGAUUGAAGGAUUCCUUAAUGUACCACCAAGUCCUAUUGUACCAACACCAAAAACUACAGUCGUUUAUACCAUUAGUACUCCAUCUGUUUCUAAUGAAGUUUCAAGUGGAUUAUCAGGUGGUUCUAUUGCUGGCAUAGCUAUCACUGGUGUAAUAGUAACAAUAAUUAUAAUCAUCAUGUUCUUUAUUAUUAUUAUACAGCAUUUGUACAUCAAAAAAGUUAAAUCUAAUACUGGAGAAGAAUUAAUAGUUUCUAAUAAAACUGAUGCAUCAACAAUUCCUUCAGUACCAAAUGAAGCAUAUGCAACAAUUGAUUCACUUGUUAAUGUACAAGAGAAUGUAUCUUAUUCUUCAUUACAACCAAAUCAACAAGAAUCAAUGAGUGGAUCUAGAACUACAGGCAGUACCACUGCAGUACCUGCAGUCUAUGAAACAAUUAGAAUUGAAAAUACAGCAACCAGUUAAUGUGCUAUAUGUGCUAUAUUUGGUUAUUGAGUUUAAAAUUAAGGUGAAUUUAUUUAUGGGGGAGGGUCAGGCCACUGUACCUAAAACAACUUCCUAUCAUAGCAUAGUUACAGUUUACAAGAUGUUGCUGCUCCUUUUUACUCUUAUUACAACUAUUUCAGCUACAGAUAAUGGGACUCGAAGUAUUUCCCUUCCAUCUGCUAACAUUCACCCUCCAGAUUCUUUCAUUCCUAUCAGCAGCCAGUCCAUUGAGCUAAACUGUACUGGGGUAGGGGUACUUCGAUGGUACAGAGGUUACAAUUUUGAUGCACCUCUUGACAAAUUGACCCAGCUUCUUGAAGAGGGUAUAUUGUCAUUAAAGAUUGACCUAACUAAAGAUGGAUAUAGUCAUGGCUCAGAUGACAGAAAUCGUGCUUAUUUUUGCACUGCUACUAAUACAUUUGGUGUGGCUAGAAGUAGAACAAUACAGACAGCAUAUUUUAAAGGUUUUGGUGAUAUUGAUAACACAACAGUCAUAGUUAGACUAGGGGAAGCAGUGGCUCUAUUCUGUAAUGUGACACAGCGACCUAUACCUACCAUUGUAUGGUAUAAGAAUGACACAAUUAUAGUAACUAAUACAGUCAAUGGAAAUCCAAAGUCUAUAUUGUUAGAUGAUGGACAGUAUUUAGUUAUAUAUAAUUUGGUUGAUGAUGAUGUAGCUGCUACAUAUAAAUGUGGUGUUACUAAUGUUGUUAAUCCACAGAAUUCAAGUCACAAGUAUACAUUGAAUAAAGUCAAUACAAUACCUGGUGGGUUUUUAGUAUAUCGUCCUCCAAUUGCCAAUCAGUUUGUUGCACCUCAUCAAAAUGUUUCAUUUUAUUACAUUGCUGCAACUAAUUCCAGUGAUGAUGGAAAUGGUACACUAGCUGCUGCUGCUGGAAAUAUUGUUAACUCUACAGCACAAGAUCAUUACUUACUUAGAGUAAGGCUCAACAAUGAAGGAACAUCAAGGUCUAGUCUUGUUUUGUUUUUGACUCAAAAUGGUAUUACAGUUGAUGGUUCUAUGUUAGAAGUAGCAUACACUGUUGUAGAGCCACUUACUGUCACACAACUUUCUAUGACAGUAAACUCUACAUUAUUUCAUCGAUUUGAAUCAGAAAGCAUCAUCUUUACUUGUGCAGCUACUGGCACUAAUAUUACAUUAAGGUGGUACUUCAAUGGACUACCAUUGAUUAAUGACAAGAAUACACUUGUACUAAGUGAUCUCACAGCAUCUAGUGCAGGAGUAUAUCAAUGUUUCUGGGAUGGAGUCUUUGAUACAGAUAAGGAGUCUAUCUCCUGGGCUCUGCAAGUAUUACCUAGUACUAGUCCUACCAGCAGAGGUGAGAAACCUUGUCAAAUGAAGCUAUUAUUGGAAUAUUGUUUGCUGUUAAUCUGCUACUAAUAUUAGUGAUAGUGUCUAUGAUCAUUAUAUUCUUCAAAUUUAUCCGACAAGAUAAUAAUAAUAAAUCUACUACUGGUACUACUAAUGAAGAAGAUGAGCCACAGUCAGUACAAAAUGAAGCAUAU